GAUGAACGCUGGCGGCGUGCUUAACACAUGCAAGUCGAACGAUGAAGCCCAGCUUGCUGGGUGGAUUAGUGGCGAACGGGUGAGUAACACGUGAGUAACCUGCCCUUAACUCUGGGAUAAGCCUGGGAAACUGGGUCUAAUACCGGAUAGGAGCGUCCACCGCAUGGUGGGUGUUGGAAAGAUUUAUCGGUUUUGGAUGGACUCGCGGCCUAUCAGCUUGUUGGUGAGGUAAUGGCUCACCAAGGCGACGACGGGUAGCCGGCCUGAGAGGGUGACCGGCCACACUGGGACUGAGACACGGCCCAGACUCCUACGGGAGGCAGCAGUGGGGAAUAUUGCACAAUGGGCGCAAGCCUGAUGCAGCGACGCCGCGUGAGGGAUGACGGCCUUCGGGUUGUAAACCUCUUUCAGUAGGGAAGAAGCGAAAGUGACGGUACCUGCAGAAGAAGCACCGGCUAACUACGUGCCAGCCGCCGCCGUAACAC
rnacentral:rRNA from 1 species